GGCAGUGUAGCCUAGUGGUUAAAGCACUCGUCUGGGAUUCAAGAGUUUGCGGGUUCUGUUCCUGACUCUGCUG
rnacentral:tRNA from 1 species